UUCUCCUACAGGCUUCUCCGCUUCACUAAGGAAGACCACUGAAAUCUGCCACCUGCUGCAGCCACAACUGCAGCCUCCGAACAGAGUGAGGAGGACGUUGCCAGUGAAUGAGACUGGCUGGUUUCAAGCUGGAGCAGCUCCAGCAUUUGAACAAGUCAUGGUCAGUGGGUGAUCAUUUCAGCAUUCAGUACUAAAUCGUGGAAUGUGAAGUGCAAGAUUAUUGUGAAUGGAAAACCAUAGUUUCACCAUCGCCUUCCACUGAUGGUGAAUGCUGGACAUAGCUACCCACACAUCAUUAUCAUCGGCAAUCCCUCCUGUCAAGGAUGAUUCUUCCUUGUGGAUGGCUGGGUGAAAGUGAGAUGGCAGUGUUGGCUCUGUGUUCACAGAUGAAGACCUAUCUUUUUAUAAGACCUAUCUUAGCCUUGCAGGCUCUCCCACCUUGAGGAUAUGGUUUGUACUCUCUUUCCUUAUCUCUCACCGUUCUCUUCAAGUGGCUGCUCUUGUUGAUUGGAAGAUCUUGACACCAUUUUUAAUGAUAGAUCGCCAUUUUGCUCAUGAUUAGGCAUCUGCUUCCAUGCGUUGAUGUUGAUAGAGCAGACAGGGCUUUGAGAUUGUCUUUGAAACAUUUCCUUUGAGUCCCAUGUGAAUGGGUUCCCUGAUGUAGCUCUGAGUAGAGCACUUGUUUAGACAGUCUGGAGUUGGGCAGCUCAGCUGAUUUGAUUUUAUCAUGGCCUCUAUACUUGGCAUGCCUGUGUGUUGGAGGACUCUUGUGUUUUAUCUUUUGUCAUCCCACUUGAUUUGCAAGAUCCUUCUAAGACAGCACUGAUGAUGUUGUUCUGGGCUUCGAUAUGGCAUCUAAUAAUUGUCCAAGCUUCAACACCAUAAAGAAGCACUGUGAGAGCCACUGCCUGAUAGACUUUGAAUUUAGUGUUGGGUCUGAUAUCAUGAUUCUUGAACUCAAGUGCACAAUUUACCAUAAGUUGAGCUAGCACAUUGAUGAAGAGGUACAACUGAAUCCAAUGUCAGCUUUUCAUGCAUAUGUACUUGUGUACCAUAUGUACUUGGGUGCAUAUAUUCACAUAUAUAUGUACAUAUGUUGCUUUCUAACCUCCAAAGUAUGUGAAAUUCCUUACAUUGGAAAAAAAGAGAAAACAGUAAUUUCUUUGUCCAAAAGUGGACAGUAUUAUAUUUUUAAUGGGUUAACAAGUGGAGAUAGUGGCAUGUGGUAAUGUUCUAGGGGCAUGGGUUCAAAUCACAUCAUGGCAGCUGGUGGAAUUUAAAUUCAAUUAAUAAA